UCUACGUACUUCUUGCAUAACGGAUCAGCGAGUUAGUUUCUAAAACAGGCUUAAACAAUAAUGUGAAAGCGAAAAGAAAUUGAAAAGGUUUUAGGAAAAAGACCCGAACCUAAGUGAUCUAAGUAUGAGCAGGUUGAAGCUUCAUGAAAGUGAAGUGAAGGACCGAACCCACUAGCGUUGCAAUGCUAGGGGAAGACUUGUGCUUAGGGGUGAAAGGCCAAACAAACUUAGAUCUAGCUGGUUCUCCCCGAAAUCUAUUGAGGUAGAGCACUUUUUAUAUAUAUCUUAUGGGGUAGAGCACUUCAUGGGUGUGGGGGGCGUAAAGCUUUACCAUUUCCAAGAAAACUCCGAAUACGUAUAGAUAGAAAAAGCAGACAGGCUUUGGGCGCAAAGGUGCAGAGCCAAAAGGGAAAAAGCCCAGAUUCUCAGUUAAGGUCUUAAAUCUCUUUCUAAGUGUGAAAGGAGCAACACGAGUGAAAUCAAUUUCGAGGUGGGCUUAGAGGCAGCCAAUCCGCAGAGGAAAGCGUAACAGCUCAUUGAUUUAACCGUGGUUGACCAAAAAUGUAACGAGUCUCAAGAAAGAAACCGAAACUAGAAAAAUAAAAAUUUGGUAGGAGAGCGUUGUGUGUGUCGUAGGGUUAUACCCAUUGCAAGAUCAUUUUUUAAAAUAGAUCGGAGACCUCACAAGUGACUAUGCUGAUAUUAGUAACGUAAAAUCAUGUGAAAAACAUGAUCACCGAAACUUCAAGG
rnacentral:rRNA from 1 species